UGGGGAAUAUUGGACAAUGGGCGCAAGCCUGAUCCAGCCAUGCCGCGUGUGUGAAGAAGGCCUUCGGGUUGUAAAGCACUUUCACUUGGGAAGAAAAGCUGCUGCCUAAUAAGCAGCAGCCGUGACAUUACCUUGAGAAGAAGCACCGGCUAACUCCGUGCCAGCAGCCGCGGUAAUACGGAGGGUGCGAGCGUUAAUCGGAAUUACUGGGCGUAAAGCGCGCGUAGGCGGUUUGUUAAGUCAGCUGUGAAAGCCCCGGGCUCAACCUGGGAACUGCAGUUGAUACUGGCCGACUGGAGUACGAGAGAGGGAGGUAGAAUUCCAUGUGUAGCGGUGAAAUGCGUAGAUAUAUGGAGGAAUACCGGUGGCGAAGGCGGCCUCCUGGCUCGAUACUGACGCU
rnacentral:rRNA from 1 species